GGAAAAGUACCUGGAAGAAAGAUGUAAUUAGGAAGAAGUAAACAAUGAAGUAGAACGGGGAAGGAUGCAAAAUGGAGAACUGUAACAAUAGCCAGGGGCUGGGAGUAGAGCAACAUAUUUUACUACGAUGAAGAGGAAAAUAAUUUCUUCCCCCCGUCAAGCCUACAGUCAAGGGGAGAGACAAGAAGGAUUGUGGGAGAAAGCCAGUCACAUACAACAGCUAGAUCAGGUUUUGGGGAAGCUAUCGCUUAGCAACCUUUAUUUUAGACUGUUACAUGAGUACAGCUCGAAAAAGUCAAGACACUGUUUUAUACCAUCCUUAGAAGGAUGAUUUGAAGUAUUUGGUAGGUGGUAAAAUAAAUGUACAAUAAUCACAAAACUUUUCUGAGAGGCUUUAUUACAUGUUAUAAUGUUGAUCUUCAGAAAUGUUUAAUAAAAUCACAUUUCCAGGA
rnacentral:lncRNA from 1 species